GCCGCCUUAGCUCAGCCGGUAGAGCACAUCAUUCGUAAUGAUGGGGUCGCGUGUUCGAGUCACGCAGGCGGCACCA
rnacentral:tRNA from 1 species